rnacentral:rRNA from 1 species
UACGAAGGGAGCUAGCGUUGUUCGGAAUCACUGGGCGUAAAGCGCACGUAGGCGGAUUUGUCAGUCAGGGGUGAAAUCCCGGGGCUCAACCUCGGAACUGCCUUUGAUACAGCAAGUCUUGAGUUCGAGAGAGGUGGGUGGAAUUCCUAGUGUAGAGGUGAAAUUCGUAGAUAUUAGGAAGAACACCGGUGGCGAAGGCGGCCCACUGGCUCGAUACUGACGCUGAGGCACAAAAGCGUGGGGAGCAAACAGG